rnacentral:ncRNA from 2 species
CUCUGUGACUGGCUUGCUUGAUGGUUAGGGUCUGAUCGCUGCCUGAGACACCAUAUCGGUACUCCUCAGAGUUGGUGAUCACAGGAUCUGGUUUGCCACUGAAAGGAAUCUUGAUGCUGACCACUUCACCUCGGAGAGCAUGAACUGCUCCCAUGCCUUCAAGAGUUUUAGGAUGGCAUCAACUGUUCCAAAAACAUUGCUGAGCUGGACUUUGUAUUUCCCAGCAUGAGUCUUACGUUGGACAUUCUUCAUGACAAGAUGAGUAUAGUGCUCAGUGUUUUCAAUAGUAAUGUUUUCUGAGUUUUGCAAAAGUUUCUGACCAUGGAACCAAGUCAUGGCAGGUACUGGACGACCAAUGUACAUAACAUGAAGCCGAAGUGUGGAACCCACAGCUCCAUAAUAUUUCUCUUUCAGUGGGUAACCAGGAUGGAACUGCGGUGUUGCUUGCAGGAGAAGCUUACUACUGGUUUCUACUUCUCCAACCUCAUUGGUGGCUAUGCAGGCACUGUCUCCAGACUGUCUAUAUUCAACCCAGUAUCCAAGAAUUUCUUUACCACCAUCACAUUCAGGUUUCUCCCACUGUAGAGUGACACUAUCUUUGGAUAUUGAAAGAAUCUCAAGUUCUCCUGGUUGGCUUGGUUUAUCUGAAAUAUUUUAAAAUAAUGAAAAGGGAGUCAGCUUUACUGGUGAAAUAAAAGGACCAAACAUGGCUUGCUUCUUUAA